UAUACCCUGUCCUUAUGGAUAAAUAAUCCUUCUCUUCCAGGUUGGUGAAAAUGUGUUUUCUCUACUCUGAAACCCCCGCACGAAAAAAGCCCUUUGACCCCCAGAUCUUGCAGUAGCGAUGGCUCAGGGACAGUGUCCAAGAGUGCCAGGGCAGAAGGGCCACCUAGGCAGAAUCAAUUCCCAGGCAGCUUCAGGGUUAAUAAGGUUUUCUUUAUUGCAGGGAUUACAGGAAUUGAACUCUCUCCACAACCUGUUUUAAUAAUAACUAAAUAAUAUGAUAUUAGGGAGCACCACAAGGGGAAGGAAGAGGAACAAAAGACGCUGCAGUUGGGUCAUUCCCAAGGCUUGGAGUCUGCAAGGUCCACUGGAGAAAGGGCUGCAGCACAGAUGUGCAGCUCCCGCACACAGUGAUGAAUCUCAGGUCACCUCCCUCCAGUUUGUGCUAUGGGGUGUAAGGUUGAAAAUGUUUCUAAAAGCGUUUACUUUUUCCUGUGGAUGGAGAGAAAACAGAAUAAUUCAUUUUCAAAGUUUGAGAAGUGUUUUGUUUCAAGAAGAAAUAAGUAGAUUUACUUUUGCAGUAAGAAGUUUGCAGGAAACUUCAGGAAUCUUUUGUAAGGGCUUGUAGCGUCUUGGAAGCUGGAGUCUUUAUAUACAUACAGCACUUGCGUAACAACGUCUUAACUGUGAAUGAGAUUCCUAGGUGCAGUUGCAAUAAACUGAUUAAUAGUAUCAUUCAUGGUAUCAUACCUCAUUCAUAUGUUCAGUGUAAGUAAAGAGGAAUACAUUGGCAGGAGCAUAACGGUUGUGACUUCAAACACGAUACUCUUGGGGGGAAAAGUUACAGCUAAAGCAUGCACCACUGGGCAGUGCAAUUGGUAAAGCUGCAAUAAAUGUUCAAGAAAAUAAUUUGUGGAGUAAAAAGCAGCAAAAACAAGCUCACAAAGAGCUAGUGCUGGGCAGGUCUCUGGCACGUUACCCAAGGUGGGUAACGUUACCCAGUUAGUCAAACCGAGGAUGGAAAUAAGAAGGAGACAUGUCUGUCAGUCAGAUUGUUCAGGAUGACCCCUACUUAUGCAUAAACAAGCACCCACAAGUAGGGUUGUGUGUUUUUUUAAUCUGGAGACAGCAAGGACUGAUUUUUGUCACCAAACACUCGUGGGACAAAUCACUGACAAAAGCACACAGAAAGCAGAAGGGAAUAGAAGAUGGUUAAAUGAGAAGGAAUGUCUUUGCCAUGGGCUGCAGCUGCUUGGAAUGCAUUGGGAUCCUCAAGAGAAGAGACAAGUAAUGGGUCAGUAUUUCCUAUACGGUUGCUUAUUUCAUUCAAAAGCAAAUAAUGGGUCAUUUCUGUGUGUUUCAUUCAACGAAUAAGUUACUUGAACUACCACAUGGCUGAAGUAUGGAGAAAUGUGUGGGGCAAUAAAAAGACCCAGUGUUUCACUGUGCCGGCAUCCCCACAGUUAGCUAAAAUGAGACAUCUAGUUCAUACCAAGAAAAUAUUAGCCCUCGGGAGCAGGCAGCUUGGCUAACGCAGUGAUCGGUUGCGCUGUGUCCCUGCCCAAACUUAAAUGUUCCCUGGCCAGCGCUGCUCCUAUUUUUAAUCUCUGUGCUAUGAAAAGCCCUGUUCCACAGUACCUGAAUUUGUGCUUUAUAGGCAGAGACUUGGGAGCACGUUUAUCACGCGGCUGUCAUUGCUUUUGAGGAAACCGGUCCAGAGUGCUUGGGUUGUUGUCCUGAAGCCACCCAAUAUGACGUGGCCCUUUGCUCUCGGACAGUGUGCUGCUUCACGGCGAUGCUGUGAAGAGCAGACUGACAGAGAGCUGGACCCAGGGCAGUUUCUGCCCAGGGAUAAAUGAUACCCUGAUUUCUCAUUUAUUAAAUUGCAGCCCGUAUUGUGUACAUUGUUUCACAGGGAGAUGUUUACCCUGCUGAAAAGCUAAAAUGUUUUCUCUCCUUGCAACAUAAAAAGCCCAGGAGUGAGUAUUGUCACCGGAGAUAAUGUUACAGCCUUAGCAAGAUGGCACUUCAAAACUUCGUCAGCCUCCAAGAAUUUCGGAAUAGCGAUGAAUGAAGGUAACAAGUGUUAAGAGCAGGCGGUGCUUGCAAGAAGUGCCCUCACAAGCCGUGUUUUCAAGAGCUUUUUUCUGUUCCCAGUUACCAUUAGAGCUGCACAGCUGGGACCAUUUUUAAAUAAUUAUACUUACCAGUUAAAAACCCUCACAUGCUAAAAUAAAUUUUAGCUAAGAUGGCUUUGAGCUUUGCAGCCUCAUAUGACACUCCAUCUUUCUCGUGUGACUGUUGUAACAAGUCAAAUUCAUGUAUUUUGAUACCCGGCACAUGGUAAAGAUACUUGGAUCACUUAAGCCUGUACAAAACUGCAAUGCUCGCAUGUCAUUUAUCUUAAAAUCCUAUUGUGGCUCUCGUGAAAUGUAACUUCUUCAGCGAAUGGAAAUUUAUACUGGCAGAGGUGUUAUAAAUCAUGGAAAAUACUCAGGGAAGGGGACCCAACGCUUCCUUUAUCUCUUCAAGUAUUCAGUAACAGGAAUUUAUUUUUCAGCUUGGCAUUGGUUUGUUGCAGGUUACAGAGCUUUGGUGCAACCAAAGGGACCCGUUUCCAGUCAUCUUAACCAAAACUGAAUAACUGCAACAGAAACUCUGAAAUAUGUCUGGAGCUCUAAAACUUGAAGACAAACACCUCAAAACCACUCCACAGACUGCCUCAGGUAGGAUGGUGCCAUGCCCAUGGCUUCACUCUGAUAGAGCUCAGCUUUACUGCCCUCAUUCUUAAAGAUCCCACUGAUGUCAAAAUGCCUGUGGAUGCUAAAAAGAAGGGGGAGGAUGAAAUAGGGUCAACAGCUACAGAUUACAAAUCUUCAUCAAAUGCAGGAGGAAUUGUCUAAGGAAUAAGGACUUCAAGAUCCAACGAGUGUGUAUCGUGCCAGAGAGGAAGAAAUUCGCUGAAGUCUGUGCACCAAAUUAUGCUCUUAUGGAUAUGUGCUUGCACAGAAAGCCAGCGAACAGACACUGCAGCACCUCAGCUAUAUUUUGGUGGUAUCACUGUCACAAGAGUUAACGCAGCCUUCUGCUCAAAGGGCAUUUAGUGUUUAUGAAAGCUAGUGGAAUUGAAAACCUGAUGCAUGGUACAUGACAGCGAGAGGAAUAGCUGGAGCUAUGUCCAUUUUCCAGCAGCACACCUUGGCGCCUGGUGGGAGAGUGAGUGAAUCCCCACUUGUGGCAACAGCCUCCUGGAAACGUUUUUGACAUUUUUGCCAUUGCAUUUGUGAAAGGUGAAGGUGCCAAUGCAAGCUGCAGUAAAGGUGAGUGCUCCUCUAGAUCCAGCUUCUCUUCACCAUGGGGAAAAAUACAUGUUACAUGGAAUUAAUAAAUACAAAGUAAUUAACACAGUGAAGGCAAAGCAGUUGAAGUAUUAAUAUAUGUGAACUGACAGAGGUAAGUCCUGAGGACCUCAUCCAUCUUCUGUGUGUGUUAACAGGGCCAAGGGAAGCUGGAGUUGUCUCCCCUGGUUUGCCAUGAGUAGACUGACAAGGUAAGCACAGACCUUGCAGCUCGGUAAAGAUGGCAGCUUGUGAGUCCUGAAUGCCCCGCACCACAUAACUGAGGGAUGUGUUGUAUCUCAAAACAGGUGUCCUGGAGGGCAACAGCUCAUAACGACAUUGCCCCAGUGCAUCGUGCAACUGACGUUAAUACUGAUCCCAGUGCCUGCUCCCCCACCACUGCCAGGAGGGCAGUGCUAUGAAGGGUUUUGCUAGGUUGGUGGAGCCAUGGUGAAAAAGGUGAUCCCAGCAACCUUUAGGAGCUAUCAUGCCACCUUCACGGUACAGGGAAAAUCUGCAGGGACUGGUCCUAACCUACCAGUAGAUCAGCUCAUCUGGGAAGAUACCCAAUGUAGGGAAAGAGUGUGAUCUCUGUCCAUUCCUAUAGCAUUGCAAAUCCCCCUGACCUUUGUCUGGCUGACUUAAUGGUAUAUACUUGGUGAUAUCUGAACACUUUUUUUGGCAACAGCACCAAGAAUGAUUCAAAUAGCGUUCUCCUCACUGUUGGAGGUACGGCCCUGGUGUUUCCCUCCCAGCAAAUAAAGAGGAGAGCUUUCAUAUAUGUGUCUUCUGGGGACCAGUGCUUUCUAGGAAUUGCUUACAGAGAAUUAAGUAACACAUUUGAUUGUCAUCCAGAAGCCCUGGGCUUACUACAUGAUCUUCUU